CACUGAGUCGAGACGGUGACCCUUGAUCCGCCGUCCCGGGAGCCACAGGCAUUGAGUCGCGCUGGGCUGGCGGUGUAGUCCCCUUCCCUGCCCAACUCCACAUAGACGCUAUGAUCAAGGACUUGGUUUGGCCCAGAGGCGUGGUGGUGUCAGUUGGUGAGAAGGUGAAUGCCACGGGUGCGGCAGGGACCCAUGGGGAUCAGCGGCAGAAGGAUUGCACGUGGGCCAAGUAAGAGUUUCCGAUGGCCGCCGGGCAGCUACCCAACACCACCUUAGCAGCUGGAGGUCUGUGUGGGAUGUGGGGCUGAUACGGAAAGAGACUCCUCUAGGAACUGGAUCUUGUGAGAAGAGUGCUUUCAGCUCUGAGCCAAACAGAUAGUUAAAACAAAUGGGCGAGGCAUCUGGCACUACGGGCGUCGGCGGCGCGGCGCGGCCAGCAGCCUGCCCCACCUGUGCUGCCUGGGCGAGCGCGGGUUGGUCGGCCUGAGCGUCUCCAUUUGUUCCAUGUCAGCAGUGCUCCCCGCGCAGCAUAAUGCAGAGCGCCUGGAGAGAAUCACCUGCUGGCACAUCGGAGAACUGCAUGCUAAGACACAGCUCGCAAACGGUAACUCAUCUGACAAGAAAGAGGCUGACAGGAAGGCCCCGGGGACGGAAGAGGCACAACACAGGAGGGAGGAUGGGAUGGAAGCCAGGUAGCAACUCCCUCUACCAGGUGUGGCCCAGGGAAACGCACCCCCCCACCCCCCUCCUCGCCCUGCCUGCCACAGCUUACCUGAUGGCGAACACGCACGCUACGGUGGUCACAAUGCCCCUGCCUGAUGUCACUGAACAAACGUCUCUGAAGGGCCUGUCUGAAUUCUUGUGAAGAACCUCGUCAACUUUCAUGCCGCUUUGAUCUGUUAACUGUUCUCAUCAGACACUUGGCAUUUCCGUAAAGAGCAACGUAAGUACCUGACCGAGCAUCCAGCAUAAUGUCUAGUACACAGGCAUUUCAUAGUCCCACCUCCCGCAUUCACCGCGCUAUGGACAACCUCGGUUCGAAUCCGCCCGCUACCACCUGGGAUUUUUCAGUCACCGUCGAGUGGCCUAAGACUACCCACAUGCUGUCAUGAAGACCACCCAUCAACCCGGACUCUAGAAGAAACCGUCCAAGUGAAUCAAGAAUGAGUUCCGGGGGGCAGCAUGAGCCCAGCAUUAAUGGCGCCACUAUAAAAAUUGCUUGCGCCAUGACGGGCUUGGGCCAACCACCAGGCCCCUGAAGAAAGCCUAACAGUGCUACAGGCGAAAACGUAAAAAAACAAACAAACUAGUAAUGCCUUGUACGAUUUAGUUCACUGUCCAAGCGUCUUCUGUCGUACGCACACUAGUGACACGAAGGAAUUUUCUGUUCAACUAGAUUACAGUUUUCGCUCUUCUGUUUGCUAACCAUUGACUCCUCAAAAUUCACAAGAUUUCGGCCAUAAUGACACGCCCCAUCCCUGUGCCAUCACGGAAAAAAUAAAAAUCGUAGCUGGGGCUUUUCCAUUUUCUAUUACACCAUGACCCUCUCAGAUUUCCGAAACUAUGACCCAUUCUAAGUCAGGGAAGGAGUAUUAGUAACUGUUCUUGAUUCUCACACUCGCAAUGGUUGUCUCUCCACUUCUUUAUACUUCAGCGAAAUUUUCACUUCAAGAACUUGGCUUGACUCGUUUUUAAUCUUUGCCGAGAUAUUAAAUUAAGGGCAGGGAAACUUUUAAGUAUUCUUCACACCGAGGCACCAAAGACAGCCCGACCCGUAGCCAAAGGUCUCCGAGCUGACACUGGCGGGAGCCUCCAACACGGCACGGCUUCAUGUGUCAGCCAAAGGGGGAGGAUGAGCGCAGCUUCCUGUUUUGCCGGAAGCUAUGCAACAGCCACAACAACUACGCACCGAAGAUCGUGACUUUUCUCACUAAACUCAUUAUCUGAAGGUUUCCUAGAUAUUGCAUUUAUGAAUUUAUGACACUCCUCCCAGGGUUCAGGGUAGUUCCAUAACUUCAAGGUUCAAACUGCACCAAAUUACAAAUUUCUGUAUCGCUUUCACUAAGUCUUGUCUUCCUGAUUAUCGUCAGGAAUAACUCAGAACACGACCACACGAGGGCUUAAAAAGUAUUUAAAAUAACGAUUCGCAGUAAUUGUGUAACGCUGCAGAGGCGGAUGGUCUUCCGGUAACGAAAUUUGCCUUUGCGGUGAAUACGGCAACACAACAUGGCCUUUCACCACACACACACACACACACACACACACGAAAAAUAAUCCAGAUAAGUUUUAUGGUCCUCUCGAGUCGAUUAUGGUAUCAAACCAGCAUCAGAACUCCAGAGAGUGAACAGUUCGGAACAGUCAUACUCAUAUGGUAGCUUGUUCCAUUAAGUGGUACUGUCUGCAGCUUCCUGUUGGACCUAAAACUCUAAGGUAUCGAAGCUUCACAUUAACUUCUCAACUCACCAACACCUUUCAGUGAGAUUUUGACCCAUAAGUCUGCAUUCGCUAGUUGACUCGCAUAAUAACUUCCAAAAAAACUUUAAUGUUUCGAAUUCACUACUUGUUUCAUAAAGAAUUUUCUCUCACUUGUUACUUAGCUCACUUAAAACUCACAAAGUAAUACUUGUCAUAAGGUGCCGGUUUCCCAUUCACUACUUGCUUCAUGAGUAACCUUCUAUGUCAAAGCACCACAUCAGCUCCUUUAUAGCUCCCUAGAAAAGCCAGAGCCGAGAACAUCCUGCUGUCGUGAUGGGAAAGCCUGGAAGCAGGGCUCAAGAAGGGCGGGAGAGGAGCUCGGCGGGUCAGGCCUGUGUUGUGUCGGGCCCGUCAAGAGUCACAUUAGCUGUGGGAUCCUAUUAAC